AUGGUUGAAUUGUUGCUUGAAUACCAAGAAUCCGACGAGCCUGCUGCUUCUGUCCAAGUUGCUAUCCAAGCUGACAAAGAUCAGGACGAUGAAGCGGGCAUAUUACUUGAUCAAUAUAUGAUGCAGCAGCCCAUUGUUUCUUCUCAGCUACACACAGAAUUGGACUUGUACUUGGAGGAGCCUGCUCUCCCUAGAACACAAGAGGUUGACAUCAUUACUUGGUGGAAGGUUGGAGGUAUGAAGUAUCCCACCUUGCAAAGGAUUGCUCAUGAUAUAUUACCCAUUCCAGUCACAACCGUGGCAUCCGAAUCUGCAUUUAGUACCAGCGGCAGAAUACUUAGUGCACAUCGAAGUCUCCUUGCACCCAAAACCGCUGAAGCUCUUAUGUGCAUGCAAGCAUGGAGUCGUGCUAAUAUGUUUGAUAAUGUCACAUCCGACCACUUUGCGAUUCAAUCUGUUCUUGAAGAUGAACAAGAAGCUAUGGAGGAAUGUGUACACCAUUGA
rnacentral:rRNA from 1 species